GACGAACGCUGGCGGCGUGCUUAACACAUGCAAGUCGAACGAAGUGGCGAACGGGUGAGUAACGCGUAAUCAACCUGCCCUUCAGAGGGGGACAACAGUUGGAAACGACUGCUAAUACCGCAUACUGAAGGAGGGGAUUGCGUGUGAUUUGCUAGUGGGAGGGGUAACGGCCCACCAAGGCGAUGAUCAGUAGCCGGUCUUGGAGGGUGAACGGCCACAUUGGGACUGAGACACGGCCCAGACCCCUACGGGGUGCAGCAGGGGGGGAUCUUCCGCAAUGGACGGAAGUCUGACGGAGCAACGCCGCGUGAGUGAUGACGGCCUUCGGGGUGUAAAGCUCUGUUAAGCGGGACGCGGUACCGGAAUAGAAAGCCACGGCUAACUACGUGCCAGCAGCCGCGGUAAUUC
rnacentral:rRNA from 1 species